GAGGACGUGGUGUAACGGAGAACACGUCAGUCUACGAAACUGAAAAGUGAAGGUUCAAGUCCUACCGCUCCUGC
rnacentral:tRNA from 1 species